UCCACAUGAAAGUCUUAAUAGUACCCCAGUUCCCCCACAUGCCCCUCAAAUAGAUUUCAUGAACUGCUGUUAGUCCUCAUUUUAAUGAUGGCAAGUGAUUUAUCUGUAGCUUUUUAAUGGUUUUUGUCUUGUUUUUGAAUCUCUGCUAAAUCCAGAAUGUUUGUGUGACUUUGUACUUCAAAACUUUUUGAGCAUUUUUUUUUGCCUUCUGUGAACUUGUAGCUCAAGUGCAGCACCAAAGGCCCACAGCAUAGGAGAAGCGAGAGACCCGGCAGCAGACGCCGCCAGAGGCAGAGGACCAGCCCCAGGAUGACGGUGGAGCAGAUGAACCGGACCCCGUUCAGUCGCCAGAACAACAAGCUGGACUUUCCCCCCAGUCCUUGUCACCACCACCUGUGUCACCCCCCAGGCAUGCUGCUGCGAAUGUUGCUGCUGCCGGGGGGAGUGGCCAGGACUGAGGAAAAGGACUGGAACAUCCAUCUGUGGAGGGUUCAGUGGGGCUUGAACUGGCGGCACGUAUCUUGGUAGCCGGUCUCGGGCCUGUUCUUGGCACGCAAAGCAGCCACUUUCUUUCUCAAAGGCGGCUAAAAA